rnacentral:rRNA from 1 species
AUUGAACGCUGGCGGCAGGCCUAACACAUGCAAGUCGAACGAGUGGCGGACGGGUGAGUAAUGUCUGGGAAACUGCCUGAUGGAGGGGGAUAACUACUGGAAACGGUAGCUAAUACCGCAUACCAUCAGAUGUGCCCAGAUGGGAUUAGCUAGUUGGUGGGGUAACGGCUCACAAAGGCGACGAUCCCUAGCUGGUCUGAGAGGAUGACAAUCCACACUGGAACUGAGACGUGGUCCAGAUUCCUACGGCAGGCAGCAGUGGGGAAGAUUGCACAAUGGGCGCAAGCCUGAUGCAGCCAUGCCGCGUGUAUGAAGAAGGCCUUCGGGUUGUAAAGUACUGUCAGCGAAGAGGCGUUACCCGGAGAAGAAGCACCGGCUAACUCCGUGCCAGCCGCCGCGGUAAUUC